UGUCACCACCACGUGUCAUCUUCUGUUGUUCGACAGAUACUUAAAUACAGUACUGUGCACCCUCGUCUGCAGCCCAAACAGUCAUCGCCCUGUCUCGGCCUAUACCCAAACCAGCUGUUACCUCUACCCAGUGAUGUGCCUUCAUCCGCAGCCAAAACGAAGUCUCAUGCAGCACCCAGGACUGUGCCCUCGUCAGCAGCCCAAACGGUCAUCGCCCUGUCUCUGCUUCUACCCAGGUCUCCCAACUGCGGUCUGCAUCUCUACUCUCAGCCCAUUCACCUGCUGUU